rnacentral:rRNA from 1 species
UACGAAGGGGGCUAGCGUUGUUCGGAAUUACUGGGCGUAAAGCGCACGUAGGCGGACUUGUUAGUCAGGGGUGAAAUCCCGGGGCUCAACCUCGGAAUUGCCUUUGAUACUGCAAGUCUCGAGUCCGGAAGAGGUGAGUGGAAUUCCUAGUGUAGAGGUGAAAUUCGUAGAUAUUAGGAAGAACACCAGUGGCGAAGGCGGCUCACUGGUCCGGUACUGACGCUGAGGUGCGAAAGCGUGGUGAGCAAACAGG